rnacentral:rRNA from 1 species
UAUUCCCCACUGCUGCCUCCCGUAGGAGUCUGGGCCGUGUCUCAGUCCCAAUGUGGCCGUUCAACCUCUCAGUCCGGCUACCGAUCGUCGCCUUGGUGGGCCGUUACCCCGCCAACAAGCUAAUCGGACGCGAGUCCAUCUCUAAGCGAUAAAUCUUUGAUAUCAAAGUCAUACGGCUUCAAUAUGUUAUGCGGUAUUAGCGAUCUUUUCAGAACGUUAUUCCCCUCUUAGAGGCAGGUUACUCACGCGUUACUCACCCGUCCGCCACUAAACUAAAAAUCCAUCAUUCCGAAGAAAUCUGCCAAAAUAGUUCCGUUCGACUUGCAUGUGUUAGGCACGCCGCCAGCGUUCAUUCCUGAGCCAA